rnacentral:rRNA from 1 species
GAUGAACGCUAGCUACAGGCUUAACACAUGCAAGUCGAGGGACCGGCGCACGGGUGAGUAACGCGUAUCCAACAUACCAAAUAAUCAGGCAUAAACCGUUGAAAGACGGCCUAAUACAUGAUGGUAUUGGCUGGGGAUGCGUCUGAUUAGUUUGUUGGUGAGGUAACGGUUCACCAAGACUUCGAUCAGUAGGGGUUCUGAGAGGAAGGUUCCCGACAUUGGAACUGAGACACGUACCAAACUCCUACGUGAGGCAGCAGUGAGUAAUAUUGGUCAAUGGGCGAGAGCCUGAACCAGCCAACUAGCGUGCAGGAUGACGGCCUCUGGGUUGUAAACUGCUUUUGUAUGGAGUUAGGUACCAUACGAAUAAGGACCGGCUAAUUCCGUGCCAGCAGCCGCGGUAAUUC